AGUGAACGCUGGCGGUAGGCCUAACACAUGCAAGUCGAACGGCAGCACAGUAAGAGCUUGCUCUUACGGGUGGCGAGUGGCGGACGGGUGAGGAAUACAUCGGAAUCUACUUUUUCGGGGGGGAUAACGUAGGGAAACUUACGCUAAUACCGCAUACGACCUACGGGGGAAAGCAGGGGAUCUUCUGACCUUGCGCGAUUGAAUGAGCCGAUGUCGGAUUAGCUAGUUGGCGGGGUAAAGGCCCACCAAGGCGACGAUCCGUGGCUGGUCUGAGAGGAUGGUCAGCCACACUGGAACUGAGCCACGGUCCAGACUCCUACGGGACGCCGCAGUGGGGAAUAUUGGACAAUGGGCGCAAGCCUGAUCCAGCCAUACCGCGUCGGUGAAGAAGGCCUUCGGGUUGUAAAGCCCUUUUGUUGGGAAAGAAAAGCAGCAGGUUAAUACGCCGCUGUUCUGACGGUACCCAAAGAAUAAGCACCGGCUAACUUCGUG
rnacentral:rRNA from 1 species